UUUUUUUUGGUAAAAAAAGGUUCUUUACAUAUAGUAUUUCGGAACAGAAAAGUCUGAUUGAGUCCAUGCCUUCAAAAGUCCAUUUAAAAAAAAAAAACGAAGUAAUGGGAGAAAAAAAAUGAAGUGAUGGGAGAAAUCCCAGUAAUCAAACAUGGAAACUCAGAAUCAACACUCCAAAACCCACCAAGCUGAACUACUAGACAUCAGACAAAACCACACUACACUUGUUACUGUACACUCUUUUUUAAGUUACUUUAUUAUAGUACACACAUUUAUUUGCAGUCAGGAAACAGAAUGACGCCUUCUUUUCUGAAACAAGAAUCUUGUUUCAGAAUUAGACUUGCCCCCAAUUGGCUUAAGACCGUUUGUUCUGAAUAAAGAAUUCAGCUUGCUUAAUUUUUUGGUGAAUGAUUUGAACAGCUUAUUCGCAGGAUGAGUCUUUACAAGCUCUUGUUUCAUUGACACGUGGUCCUUUUCAAGAUCUGUAAGUCUCAUCCUCAUUCUUGCAACUUCAAGUUUCAACUCUCGGUUCUCUCUUCUUACCGAUGCGUAAUUGUCUCUUGGAGAGAUAGCCCCACUUCCUGCACCGCUGCUCGAACGUUGAGGGAAUUGACCGUUUAUUGCUCCGAAGAAAAACUGGUUGUGCCCUCCAUUCAUUGCAUUCCUCAGCCUUAUCUGCUCGAAAUAUAGCACCUGGACUGCCAUCUGUACCGGUAACCUUUCGUUUUGUGCUGCGUGGCUACAGGCUUCCUGGGAUAAUUUCUGACAGUCUAUUGUCUUGCAGAGUCUGUACCUUUCAGAAUCUUUAAUGUUUGGAUGAACCUGUAAAGUAGAUACACAAAUCAAUUGAUUAAUCCCAUAAGUGGACUAACUCAAUAAGGAAGAGACUAUAAGAGGUAAAGUUGCUAACUUUGAGGAAGAUAUCCACAGCUCUGUACAACCCAUCACUGACUAUACGAGCAUGGUCUGGAAGUAGUUCUGCUAGUGCUAUGAACUUUGAUGACAUCAAGUUUGUAUCCAGUGCAACUUCUGCAAGAUAGUUAUCCAGUAACUUUGAUACCUUAAGAAUUGAGCUCUGUUUAGGAGAUCCAGGACUGUCAAAAUCAUAAACCAUCUCACUUUCAUCCCGCAAGUGAUUGUCCUCGUCAUCAUCCUCAUCCAAGUUGAGAAACAUGGAAAAGAUCCUCAAGAUUGAAUCUGCGUCAUACAUGGUGCUGUGGCUGUUUCCAUGUGAAUUUGCUGGAAUUAGGAUGUCUUCAAGAAUUGCCUGAUCUAGUUGAAGACCAAUCCUCCUCUCCAAGUCGGAUCUGCAAGCAGUAGUUGCUGAUGCCGCUAUUGCAGUUUUCAGCAAACUUGAAAGAAAGGCCAUUGGGACUGGACUCUUCCUUGAUUGGGUUGGUAGUAAGCUAACUAUUGCUUCAACAGUGACCCUUUGUUUCUUCUGCAACUCCACAUCAAGGAGACUUCCUUUAACCAAAUGAGGGUCUUUUACAGCGAGGCCUUGAAGAGAAUUAUAGGCAUAAUUUAUCAAAAUCUUACUGAUCAUAUCCUGUUUCAGACCCUUUGAUUUUACUGCAGACAAAACUCGUUGGAAGAAAUCAAGAUUGAGCACUGUGAGUGAUUUGCCCCACCAGUCUGAUGGUGUUUCUGGCUCCAUGUUUGCUUGUUUUGCUGGGAAGUUAUGGUCAAGUUUUAGCAAGCCAGAGGUGAGCUGCUCUUUGCAAGCAUUGCUUGCAAUUGCAUUGAUAAGCCUGCUAACUAUGUUGAUCUCUUCUGAUAUAGGCAAGAGUGCUUCACAACGAUGAAGAACAGAUAUUGAACUCGAUAUGUUGGGGAGCACGAUCUCCUUUAGGUAAGCUUCACCCCGAGCUUCCAGGUUUUUCUCUGCAAAAUCUUCUGUCAUUUCAAGGAAAUGGGCUGUACACAAUAGCAUAGCAACAUUUGAUAGUGUAAUCUCAGCAUUUACACCAUAGCAGAACUUUGCAGCAAGCUCAAAGGCUUCUGCUCCACCUGGAACUGCAGGUAUAUUGAUGUGUGUAACUUUGGAAUCUUUUGCUUCCAAUAAUAGUUUCCGAAUUCUUCCACUCCGAGAAACAAGAGGGAACUUGUGAAGUGCAAAGCUUGAUGCUCCAAUUUCAACUGUAAGAUCACUAGAAACAUCAAAGAUCAACCUGCAAGACGCAGAAUGAUUGAAGCGGAACUGCAAAGGGAUAAGAAAAUUCCAAAAUAAAAUAGAAAUAAUUCAAAACAAAGUCAAGGACACUGGUGAAGCAAUAUUACAAAGAAUGUCAAUAAACAAAGUCGAUGAAUUGUAUACUUUUAGAAUUUUGACCAUCACAAUCAGUUUCGCCAAAUAAAGAUACAGCAGCAGGAAGAUAAAAUUCAAGAUAUACAAAACUGAAUUACUUUAGCUAGCAAUGUGCAUGCAAGAAUACCUUGACAAUACCAGAAGUUGUUGCAUUUGCAUUGUUUUAUCGUGAAAGAAAUCCAAGAAUUGUACAUCUUUCCCAUUAUAACGUAGAAACAAUUGAAAAAAAAAAUUAAGUAUCAAUACUGCAGCCAUCAAUUGAAUGCCAAUAAUAAUCUGGAGAAUUAAAAACAUUAAUCCAAGCAAAUCUUGCUCUCAUAAAGCAAUUAGUUUCAUCCUGCCACUACUAAAAUUUUUUUCACAACUCGUAUAACAUGAAUAUGCUUUUUGGAGUUCUGGCCUCCACAUUAAUGACUUUAGUUCAUCAUGGAAGCAAGGUUCAUCUGUUGGGUAUCAUUAAAAAUCUGGAUCUCUUAUUGCCUUAUUUUCUUCCUGUUUCUUUUUGUGUUUCUCUAGCAUUACAUUUUCUUUUAAUAGAUAUUUAUAUCUUUCAUAGUUUAUUAAAAAAUUUAUUUUAAUAUCAAUUAACCCUAUAGCUAUAAUUGCUAACUUAAAAGUGCAAACCAUUGAGAAAGUGAAAAUCCUUAACAGUCGUUGUGAGACUAAGCAUCAAUCUAAGUACAAAAACCACAAGGAUAUUCAUCAAUUCUCCAGUGAGCAUGGCAAAAUGGAAUAAAGAAACUAAGGAAACAAAGUCAAAUAAAAGCACCAGAGCAAAAUAAAAAAAAUCAUUGAAUUCAAAACUAAGAGCAGAGCAAAAUAAAAUAAAACAGAACAUUAAAAGCUUUCUUACAUUAAAGAAAACAACUUGAUUACACAGAUCCACAAAGCACAACAAGCAAAAGAAAAUUGAGGGAAAGGAACUAACCUCGUGAUUGAAUGAAGGAGAAUGGCUUUUCACUAUAAAUUUGAGGGAUUUGCUCACUGUAAAUCUCUAAUUUGUGCACAAAUUUUUUCCUGAUUCAACAACUUGAAAAGAGAGUGAGAGAGAGAAAGAAAGGAGAAAUGCAAGGCAGAGGAAUAACAAAAACAAAGAGAGAGAAAAUUAUAGGAAACCUAAGAGGGGAAAAAGAUACAGAACCCAUACCAGUAGGAAUGCUUUUGGGUUAAAUUUCUUGCAGUGAUGGGUGCUCUGGGUAUAACAUGUUUAAGCUCUUCUCUUUCUCUCUCUUUGAUUAUUUUAUUAUUAAUAUUAAUUUUCUCUAUCUAGCUUAGCCCUGGUUGUCUUUUUUAGAGGAGGGUGAGGUGGGGUGAGGGCCGAUUGAGGGCUGUUGAUUGUCCACGCGGGCAUAUUAGGGGUGCAAUUUUGUUUUGACCAAUAGUAAAAGAGGAAUCUUUUGAAUAAUGCAGUUUACUUUUAACUUGCUUGUUCAAGUACAAGUUGAGACAUGAAAAUCUCUCCUAAGCUCCAAUAAAUCUUCAUUUUCAUCAAUUUUUUGUCUAUUCAUUUUUUGUAUGUAU
rnacentral:misc_RNA from 1 species